GAUGACUCUUACUAUUCUGAGCUUGGAAGCCUUGCUGUUGUAAACCCACAGAAGAAAGCUAAAAAAUUAUGCCGAAUUAUGGAUUGCUCUUUCUACAUUUGGAAGAAAAAGAAAGUUUUUCUCAGAAAGUCUUCUCUAUAGUACCACAAAGAUGCAAGGUCGGUGACUAAACAAGUACUCGCUGCUAUAUUAUCCAGGCCAUUUGCUUGAUCAUUUCCUCUGGUUAAAAGCAAGUAUUUGUUCUUUCAAGUAUUUGUUUUGUUCGGGCUCCAAAAGUUAAAGAGGUAAGUUUACAUCAAGACAGGUAAGUAUCUGUCCACAAUGAAAUCUUGGAAAAGAUGAUUCCCUAUGGUUCAAUUGUGUGGCCCUAAGUAGCACACACGGGCUAACAGGGUUGUAGAGAGACAGUAGAUGUUGUUGCUGAAAGAGGCCUUGGCCGAGUUUCAACAUGAGAAGUGGUGUUGUUGUUGUUUAUAUCCUAUCAAAUGCCGACAUCUGUUCAUGGACCGUGUCCUUGCCAGAGCUAUACUGUGAGGAUAUUUAAAAUAAAGAUAUGUAAACAUGGCACCUUGAAGUCACUAUAUUUUAUCUUCACUCAAAUACAACCUCUUGGAACACUUUGGAAAUUCUAAAAAAAAGAGAUUGGGGUCAGAGUUAGAAGAAUAUGAUUUACUGAAGUGGCAAAAAGAAAAGUACUUUUUAAAAUCCUCUCUGCCAUAAUAUAUUGUCAUUGUAUUAAAACUAAUAAGUGGUGAUAAAGUCUACUGUUGUUGGCUAUAAAGGAAGCUUUUAAAAUAUAGAGUUUAAAUAAUAAUUGCAUACAUAUGUAUAUAUAUAUGGAGGCUGCCCUUAGUGUCAGGUUUGAUGUGUAAUGUUCAAGGGUUAUCUGUAAUUCAUGCUUUACAGCAAGACAGGUCUUUUUAUGUCAGAAACCAAGUGCAUGAUUGCCUGUUCUUAAGCAAAAAUGUGCUGCUUGGCAACUGAAUUUAAAUUGUGUAUUAUUCUGCUGUGGUUCAACAACCUGAUUAUUUUUAGAUAGAAAUUUAAGGUAAAAUGGCACAUGGAUAUAUUUAGAGAGGACUGCAGCUGGAGUCCAGCUAUCACAGAAAGCAUUCUGGCAUUUGCUUGGGGAAGAUAUAGCUUUCAAGGGGCAGGGGUUCAGUAAUAGCAGGUCACUAACAACUGUUUCAGGGAGUCACUGAUUCCUGGAAGCAAUGACUGGUGUCUUGACACCCUGGAAGUUUUCCCAAAUGACUUGGCUAGAGUAGAUAAAGCUCAUUUUAUGCCGUUGAUCGUAUGUAUUUUCUUGCUGAUCAUGGAAGAUGGGAGCAAGAAAGGACACUAUGUUUGAUUUGAUUUUGCAGGGAAUAGAGCGACUCAUUAGUCAUUCAGUCAAACAUCCAACAAACAUUUAUUGAGCAUUUACAAUGUACCAUGUUAUUAGAUGCAAGAGAUACAAUGGUGAGGAAAAACAAAUAUUCCCAUGUCUUCAUGAAGCUCAAGACUUAACAGGUAGGAUUAACAUUAACCAGAUAAUCACAUAAAUAAAUGUAAAGUUGCCACUAUGAUGAAUGCUGCCAAUGAAUAGUCUAGUGCUAUCAGGGCAUGCAAGAGGGGAAUCUGGCAUAGUCGAGAUACAGCAAGGCUUCCCUGGAGAAGACACCACUGAAAUCAAGUCUGAAAAGUGAGUAAAAAUUAAUAAAUGAAAGGAAAUUUGAGACUGUCCUAUGUACUCAGAGCAAAAUGUGCCAAAGCCCUGCUGCUGAAGGAGCAUGCAUGUUUGGGGGACUGGUAGGUCAGUGCAGCUGAAGCAGAGAGAGAGAAGACAGGCUAUUAUAAGAUAAGCCUGAAGAGGUAGGAUGAGGUCAACCUUAGAGGACCCUGUACACCACAUUAAGGCCUCAUAUUUUCAGCCAUGUAGGCAAAAUUGGGGCAAACAUACUUUUAAAAGGGAUAAUGGAUCCUUAUAAAAGAAAUUAAGGUCAAUAUAUAUUCAUUGCUACUAUUUUGUGCAAGAAACUAUGCUAGGUCUGAAGAAGCUGCCAAAGGAGUACAACAUCUAUGUUCAUAAUGCAUAAGCAGUCCAAUGAAUAAACAGUGAAAUAUAUUCCAUGUUGUCAGAGAAUAUCUUUAAAUGAUAUGAAGAUUUACUGGAAGAAGACAUGUAACAUGACAAGAGGGAAUAGAAUCUGGGGAACACUUAAUAGAAAAAGGCUAAUGAACAGUCAAUAGAAUUUCUACUAGCAGAAAUGGAGAGUGUGGAGUUAGUGCUAUUGACAGAGUUAUCAAUGUGAGCAAAACCAAACACCAAAAGUGGACCAUGUCCAUUGUCUUUGGGGAGAACAGUAGAAACUUCAGGGAGGUUGUGAUACAGGCACCACCUGGAGAUGGUACAACAGAACAAUGUCUUACUUUUACAUUGUACCCUACAUUUAUAAUCUCAAUAGAUCUCCAAAAGAACACUAUGAAAGAAAUAGGGAAGCUUUAGCAGUUAUCUUCAUUUUACUGAAAUGUAGAGUGUAUAAAUAAUUUUUCCAAGAACACACAACUGGCAAAUGAUUGAUCCACAAUUAAAAUACAGAUUGCAAGUUUCCACUGCUUCACUGAGUCACAAAUUUCAAUCAUUCAGAAUCCAUCUUUAUGGUUUCACUACAUCUGGAUAUCACUUUACUAUCAUACACUUAACGUUUAUCUUUUAAUUGACUAAUUCUUUUUCCUUAAAAUUUUUUAAAAGGAAACUAUCACCCCCUAAGAGGAAGCCAAUAUCAUUUGUCACAAGUUUAAAGAUGCUGCUUGCCUCACAUCUACAACCGUUCCACUGACCAACCCACGUCAAAUGGCCAUGGACAAAGCUAAUGGGAUGGAAAAGUAUACUCCACCUAUGGGGAAGUAGAGACGGCGUUUCACCACGUUAACCAGGCUGGCCUUGAUCUCCUGACCUCGUGAUCCACCCAUCUCAGCCUCCCAAAGUUCUGGGAUUACAGGUGUGAGCCACUGCGCCCAGUCAACAUGUAAUUUUUUAGUGGGAAAAAGCAUGGAUUAUUGCAAAAAUCAAGAUGCAGACAAAAUGGCAAAUCUGAGAAGAGAUGGACAGGCAAAAUGGAGCACAACGGAGUCACUACUGCUACGUCAGUGUGGAGUCGCACCUUGAGCCAUAGUGUUACUUAACCAUGUUCCUUGAUGGCACACAGAAUGUUAUACUGUAAUAUAGAUGUAAAUAUUAAUAUAAUAUAGAAGCAUAUAGUAUAUAUAUCAUACUGUAAUAUAGAAAUAAAUAUUAUACUUCUGGAAUUCUGGAAAUAGUUCUGUCUGUGAUGUCAUCGGAAAAAAAAACUUGAGGGCUGAGCUAUUUGUCCUCAGUGCCUAGGUUCUGUGGAACCCAGCACAGUGACUUUCAUCCCUGUGAAACCUCAACAAAACACUAGCGAAGGGUGGUCAUUCCCAGUUAUAUAAAGAUCUUUGAUGAUGAUAGGUACACCGGGGUUUCCAACUCAAAUAGUGCACAAGUGAGGAAAUAAUAAUAAAUAUAAGUAAAGUGGGCCAGGUAGAACUACAACAAGCUGGAGUACUCACAGCCCUUAUAAGGGCAGAGUCGCUAUCUGUACCAGCUGAUUGUUGCUAUGUGGAAAUGCAAGCCUAAAGCGCCAAAUACUCUGUUUUUUCCAAAAGAAGUGGGAAAUAGCCUGUAAGUGUCAAAACUAAUUCAACUUUUAAAAGAUCUCCAGGCAGCUCAAACAAAACCUAUCUACAGAUCCCCAGUUUGCAACCUCCUACCAUAAAAGGUCCAUGAGCUUGGUUUAAUGCAGGGUGAAGUUACUUAUCACCUUGGCAUCUCUAUUUGUCUAUCCAAAUAAUAGAGAUAACUAUAAUUCCUUUCUCAUAGCAUUGUUUGAGAAAUAAAAUGUGUUACUACAUGGUAAGCAUUUGCACUGUCUCAUUUUAUGCAUUUUUGUUAUUAAAAAUUAUAUUUUAUGUAUUUGCCUAG
rnacentral:lncRNA from 10 species